rnacentral:rRNA from 1 species
AUUGAACGCUGGCGGAAUGCUUUACACAUGCAAGUCGAACGGCAGCACGGACUUCGGUCUGGUGGCGAGUGGCGAACGGGUGAGUAAUGUAUCGGAACGUGCCCAGUCGUGGGGGAUAACGUAGUGAAAAUUACGCUAAUACCGCAUACGAUCUAUGGAUGAAAGCGGGGGAUCGCAAGACCUCGCGCGAUUGGAGCGGCCGAUAUCAGAUUAGGUAGUUGGUGGGGUAAAGGCCCACCAAGCCAACGAUCUGUAGCUGGUCUGAGAGGACGACAGCCACACUGGAACCGAGACACGGUCCAGACUCCUAUGGGAGGCAGCAGUGGGGAAUUUUGGACAAUGGGCGAAAGCCUGAUCCAGCCAUUCCGCGUGCAGGAUGAAGGCCCUCGGGUUGUAAACUGCUUUUGUACAGAACGAAAAGGUUUCUACUAAUACUGGGAGCUCAUGACGGUACUGUAAGAAUAAGCACCGGCUAACUACGUGCCAGCCGCCGCGGUAA